GAUGAUGAUCCCUGAAGACACGAGAAGAGCAAGGAAGUAAGUAACUCCACUUUGACGGGAGAUUUUGAGUAAGGUCUUCAGGAUAAGCGGAGGGGGAGUAUGGUGCGGUGCUGGUGGAGAAUGUUUCGGGUUGACGUUUUCUUUCUCUAUCGUAUGUCUGUUUUGUCGAUAGAGUUUUGAUAUGAAGUUAUGUUAAAUAGAGUUUGAUGUUUAAGAUACUUAAUUUCCUUUGAAAAUCAAGCAAUACACUCACGGUUAUAUGUCUUCAUACAUAUAAUCGAUUCGCCUUUUGCUGCGAUACUCUGCAUAUUAUUCUUCAUUAUGAAAAAUGAGCUAUACCCGUUUUGUUUUUGUUCGUGAAAUUCCUGAUAAUCAAAAAGAUAUAACGAUGUUGACGAUUUUA